GACGAACGCUGGCGGCAUGCUUCAUACAUGCAAGUCGAACGAAAUGGCGGACGGGUGGGUAAUAUGUAGGAAAUCUGCCCUACAGAGGGGGACAACAGAAGGAAACUUCUGCUAAUACCCCAUACUCUAGGAUGAGCCUGCAUCUGAUUAGCUAGUUGGUGGUGUAAUGGACUACCAAGGCGACGAUCAGUAGCUGGUUUGAGAGGAUGAUCAGCCACAAUGGGACUGAGACACGGCCCAUACUCCUACGGGAGGCAGCAGUAGGGAAUUUUGCGCAAUGGGCGAAAGCCUGACGCAGCAAUGCCGCGUGAAUGUUAAACCCUUCGGGGUGUAAAGUUCUGUCAGUGGGGACGCGGUACCCACAGAGGAAGCACCGGCUAACUCCGUGCCAGCAGCCGCGGUAAUACGGAGGGUGCAAGCGUUGUCCGGAAUCAUUGGGCGUAAAGAGUUCGUAGGCGGUUUGUUAAGUUAGAUGUUAAAUACUGAGGCUCAACCUCAGCACGGCAUUUGAUACUGGCAGACUUGAAUGCGGUAGAGGUAAAGGGAAUUCCUGGUGUAGCGGUGAAAUGCGUAGAUAUCAGGAGG
rnacentral:rRNA from 1 species